rnacentral:RNase_P_RNA from 1 species
UGAGUAAGUCAGACGGUCGCGAGUACAGUACCGAAAGGUCGUACUUGAGGAAAGUCCGAGCUCCAUAGGGCAGGGUGCUGGGUAAUACCCAGUGGAGGCGACUCUAAGGAAAGUGCAACAGAAAUAAACCGCCAG